UGCAUUCAGUUUCAUUUGACCUCCCAGUAUGGGUAGUUUGUUGAAAAAACAUGUUCCCUUAUGUAGGGAAAGAUGUAUGGCCCUGCAGAAUGAGUUAGAAAUUAUGCUUCUAUAUAAUGUGGUGGAUUAUGGAUCACUAAUGUAAUUUGUGUUCUCAGAUAUUUCUUUUUGGAGGUCAAGUAUGGAUUAUGGAUUAUGGAUUACUAAUGUAAUUUGUGGUGGAUUAGGGAAAGAUAUAUUGCUAUCCCUAACCACCUGAGAACAGAAUAGAAGAUGUCUUUCAUGUAUAUUUUGACUAACCACCUGAGAAUGAUUAUUUGUUCUCGUACAUGUUUUCUUUCCUUGUAGAUAAUUGAUAGAACAUUUAUUCAUUUAGCAUUUAGAGCCUUUUUGCAGCACAAUUUAAACUUUUACCUCCUCUCCAAUGACGACGCUGCUCUUCCCCAACGACAGCUUGCUGCUGAACUCUGUCAACACCUGCUGCUAAUCGUCUCUUGCAUCUACAUGUUCCUGUUCUUCUCCAUCUUCAAAGCCACGUCUUAGACUGCUGCAACACCAAGCUCCAGAAGCCAAAUUUAUGUUCUGUACUCCAUUAUCUCACCUCUUCCCUCGCUGAUUUCUUGAACCCCUUGCUUGUUCAGUUAGUGUGAUGUCUGUUCCUUUAUGCUUCCAAUUGAGAUGAUCUAGUUCUAGUUUUAUCACCUUAGUAUUUCAAUUAUUUGCUCCUUUGCAAGACUGAAGAUCCGAUGCUCUGUUAGAUUUAAAUUUCUUGUUCAACUUAAGAGAAAAUGUUAGUGUCCUGUUGAUUGUGUUCCAGCAUGAACUCGUUCUGAACCUCACCUACUGCCGUUUUAUUCUAUAUCGAGUUUUGUCCAAGUUUUGAGUGUUGGUUGUUUGUUAGAAGAGCAUCUUCUCUUAUGUAGGAAAAGAAGAAUGGCCUAUGGCAGCAACAAAGAUGAACACUUGCAAGUUCAUGAAGUUGGAAGUUUGCAAAUGUGGUUGAGAGUGGAGAUUGUGGCCCCAUCAAUAAUAUAAUGUUCAAAAGUGUCUUCUUCUGAGUAGAAGUCGUUGUAGAUACUUGGGGCCACCAUUCUCCUCACCAGACCCUUGGGUGGGCGAAGGCCCUCAAGCACCUCCACUUGAACUUCUGGUGAAUGGAACCUUCCAAGCCCACGUGAAUGCUGAUACUCCGUUGGCAGAAUGUUCCCAUGAUGAAGACAAUCCUCAUGCUACUCAUGCGGAUGAGCAUAGUUCUAUUCCAACACAGGACAAACAUUUAGGAAUUCCAGUAGUAUAGCUAGUUAAUAUUGUGAACUGCAGUGCAGUUAGGCUUUCUUUGUCAAUUGCUUCUCCUGGCAAUUUAGGAAUCAACUAGUAUGCGUGUUUUGGACUUGGUGACACCUCCUGUUAAGUCGAGCUUCCAUGAAUCAUGACUUGGAUAUGAAUGUGUGGAUCUUGUGAACAAUGAGAUUUAAAUAAAUUGGAUGGGUACAUUGUGACCUAGGAAUUGGUUGUGAUUUUAAACCGGGUCGUGUGACCUUUGUGUACGCAUGAUUGUCAAAAGAUUUGCAUGUGGCUGUGAA